CGCCCGACUCCGCUGCUCCCUCCCCCACCGGCCUCCGGGAGGUGGGGGCGGGGAGGUGUCCCCCGCCCCCGUCCCCGUCCCCGUCCCCUCCUCCUCCCCACCGUGCACUGAAAGAUGAACUAGCGAGAGGGCACCUCCUCUGCUCUGAGGAUGGGCUUGGAGGCGCGGAACAGUGAGGAGCGCAGAAAACCGUGGUGGAGGGCGAGGCCGGGCCACCUGCUCUCCAAGCUCGGAAUGGAUAAGGAAGAGCGCGGAGGGCUGGCUGGGAGGAACUCGGAAAGCGUUUGAUUUAUGAGCGUAGGACGAAUCGCAUCCAGGAGCUGCGCAGCUCUGGCCGCAGCCGGGACGCCCUGCUCCUCGCUGAGCUUGGGGCCGGAAACCAGCCAUAGUCCCUACACUCCGCCGCCCGCCGCAGCUGGGAUUUAGUGGAGGAAGGGGCAAGGGAAAGCAGGGAGCAAAUCUAUGAAGAAACAUCGAGUUUUCAUUGGAACUUUCAAGCCUUUGCUGAUAAGAGCUGGGUUCUUAAACCAACCCGCCCCACACGCAUGUUGUUUACAUGCUGCAUUUUCUCACGGUCUGUUUUGCCUGAACCCAUCAACAGCUGGGAGAUUAAUCAACCACACUGAAAAUGUGGAGGGAUAUAUGGGGGAGGGGGUUGACAUGUACAUGUUUGAAACAAAAGUGUAUAAAUAAAUGAAUUGUUGAUAACGUAGUUAUUGACCUGGAGACUGGUAGCUAUUGAAGAAACUCCAUGUUACUCAUUCCUGGAGUUGGGGGUUUCUGUAGGCACUUUAUUUCUCCACUUUCAAAAGCUUGGGCUUGGCCCAAAUCUUAGACUGCCCAAUCCUGUCUCUAUUACCAAUUUAAAUCUAUGGCUUGAACCUAUGCAUUGAAAAUCAGAUCUAUUCCCUUUAAAAAGAAGGAGGAGAAGAAGAAGAAGCAAAAAAGCAAAAACACUUAUUAGAACCCCUAGCCAUUUUCUUUGUUUUCUGUUUUGUUGCUGUCCAUUGAAGACUUUGAACAUGCCACCUUAAUAAAUGUAUUAAAAUUGAAAAAAGAA